AACGAACGCUGGCGGCAUGCCUAACACAUGCAAGUCGAACGAGACCUUCGGGUCUAGUGGCGCACGGGUGCGUAACGCGUGGGAACCUGCCCUUAGGUUCGGAAUAACUCCCCGAAAGGGGUGCUAAUACCGGAUAAUGUCUUCGGACCAAAGAUUUAUCGCCUUUGGAUGGGGCCGCGUUGGAUUAGCUAGUUGGUAGGGGAAAAGCCUACCAAGGCGACGAUCCAUAGCUGGUCUGAGAGGAUGAUCAGCCACACUGGGACUGAGACACGGCCCAGACUCCGACGGGAGGCAGCAGUGGGGAAUAUUGGACGAUGGGCGAAAGCCUGAUCCAGCAAUGCCGCGUGAGUGAUGAAGGCCUUAGGGUUGUAAAACUCUUUUACCCGGGAUGAUAAUGACAGUACCGGGUGAAUAAGCUCCGGCUAACUACGUG
rnacentral:rRNA from 1 species